rnacentral:lncRNA from 7 species
GCUUUCAUCUUGUCAGGAAUGGAGUCUGAGGAGGAGAGAAGAGACAGUCCAGUAAUCCAACUUAAUUCCCCAAGGAUUUUGCAGUUUGGAACAAUAUCAAUAGAUACACAGGAUGCAGCUCAGGAUACAUUAUCGUGUCCUGUCAGGCAGCAGGAGGAUAAGAACUCCAUAUUUUGAUGACACGACUAACUGGAUCAUUCUGCAUUUGUCUAGAAGCAGGUGCCAGCAAAGAUGGAUUAAAAUAUAUAUAUAUAAAAAAUACCUACCUUUUACCACUGAUAACUGAGUAAAGAUCUGAAGCCUGUGCAGAAGGGUUUUCGAAACAAACAAGUUGGAACAACUUUCUUUCAAUAUCAUCAAGAAAUUCCUGCAAGAUGCUACUGAUGCUAUUUGGACCAAAUCUUUCCAUGUGACUACAAAAGAGAAUAAAUAAGCUCUUAUGAAUUGAAGUUGAACUAAUGACAGCCUGUGUAUCCCAGAGCGUGAUAAAUUAUAGUUUGCUGCUGGCAGCAGGAACUGUUCAAACACAUAUUUCUGCAUUAUGACAAUUUCUUAAGGCUUCUAUGGAAUUCAUGUUUAAUGGGAAACUGCCUACAGGGAAGAUUAUUAGGAAACUUAGAAAAAGAUUUUCAUUUUGUGAUUUCAGCAAUGUCUGUAAUUAACAACACAGUCUAUCAUUUACUAAGUGGUUAGUUGAACAUAUGAGACCUUUAUCUUGUACAAUAAUUACAGUAUAUAGAAACAAUAUACUUGUUAGGGGUGACUGAAUGUAAGUGGGUGGUUAAAUGUCAUUAAAGCUGUUAUGGAAUAUAUUUAUUUAUGAAUAAAUAUUUUCAGUUUUCCUUG